rnacentral:rRNA from 1 species
UGGGGGAUAUUGCACAAUGAGCGAAAGCCUGAUGCAGCGACGCCGCGUGGGGGAUGAAGGCCUUCGGGUUGUAAACUUCUUUUGCUCUGAACAAGGCAUGCUAAUGGGUGUGUUGAGUGUAGGGGUUGAUUAGCGCCGGCUAACUACGUGCCAGCAGCCGCGGUAAUACGUAGGGCGCGAGCGUUGUCCGGAAUUAUUGGGCGUAAAGGGCUUGUAGGUGGCUGGUUGCGUCUGUCGUGAAAGCUCAUGGCUUAACUGUGGGUUUGCGGUGGGUACGGGCUGGCUUGAGUGCAGUAGGGGAGGCUGGAAUUCCUGGUGUAGCGGUGGAAUGCGCAGAUAUCAGGAGGAAUACCGGUGGCGAAGGCGGGUCUCUGGGCUGUUACUGACACUGAGGAGCGAAAGCAUGGGGAGCGAACAGG